rnacentral:rRNA from 1 species
UACGUAGGGGGCGAGCGUUGUCCGGAUUUAUUGGGCGUAAAGAGCGUGUAGGCGGCCAGGUAGGUCUGCUGUGAAAACUCGAGGCUCAACCUCGAGACGUCGGCGGAAACCAUCUGGCUAGAGUCCGGAAGAGGAGAGUGGAAUUCCUGGUGUAGCGGUGAAAUGCGCAGAUAUCAGGAAGAACACCCGUGGCGAAGGCGGCUCUCUGGGACGGUACUGACGCUGAGACGCGAAAGCGUGGGGAGCGAUCCGG